rnacentral:rRNA from 1 species
CCUACGGGCGGCAGCAGUGAGGAAUAUUGGUCAAUGGGCGCGAGCCUGAACCAGCCAAGUCGCGUGAGGGAAGACGGCCCUACGGGUUGUAAACCUCUUUUGCCGGGGAGCAACGGGCGCCACGUGUGGCGCCACUGAGAGUACCCGGAGAAAAAGCAUCGGCUAACCCCGUGCCAGCAGCCGCGGUAAUACGGGGGAUGCGAGUGUUAUCCGGAUUUAGUGGGUUUAAAGGGUGCGUAGGCGGAGCGUUAAGUCAGUGGUAAAAUUGAGGGGCUCAACCCCUUCCCGCCAUUGAAACUGGCGCUCUUGAGUGGAAGAGAAGUAUGCGGAAUGCGGGGUGUAGCGGUGAAAUGCAUAGAUAUCACGCAGAACCCCGAUUGCGAAGGCAGCAUGCCGGCUUCCUACUGACGCUGAAGCACGAAAGCGUGGGGAUCGAACAGGAUUAGAUACCCGGGUAGUC